rnacentral:sRNA from 1 species
GCACCAGCAAAAUCUGGUGCCGGGAUUGGCGUCCCGGAAAUGGUUACAGGCGACACAGACGCGCCAGCGUCUUUUUU